rnacentral:misc_RNA from 1 species
AUGUCCUUCUGGCCAGGC